rnacentral:rRNA from 1 species
CCUACGGGAGGCAGCAGUGGGGAAUUUUGGACAAUGGGGGCAACCCUGAUCCAGCCAUUCCGCGUGAGUGAAGAAGGCCUUCGGGUUGUAAAGCUCUUUCGCAAGGGAAGAAAACUUAUGAUCGAAUAAAUCAUGAGGUUGACGGUACCUUGAUAAGAAGCACCGGCUAACUACGUGCCAGCAGCCGCGGUAAUACGUAGGGUGCGAGCGUUAAUCGGAAUUACUGGGCGUAAAGCGUGCGCAGGCGGUUUUGUAAGUCGGAUGUGAAAUCCCCGGGCUCAACCUGGGAACUGCGUUCGAAACUGCAAGGCUAGAGUGUGUCAGAGGGGGGUAGAAUUCCACGUGUAGCAGUGAAAUGCGUAGAGAUGUGGAGGAAUACCAAUGGCGAAGGCAGCCCCCUGGGAUAACACUGACGCUCAUGCACGAAAGCGUGGGGAGCAAACAGGAUUAGAUACCCUGGUAGUCCACGCCCUAAACGAUGUCAACUAGUUGUUGGUAGAGUAAAAUCUAUGAGUAACGUAGCUAACGCGUGAAGUUGACCGCCUGGGGAGUACGGUCGCAAGAUUAAAACUCAAAGAUUAGAGGCGNGAGAGAGCGACGACGACGACGACGGAGGAGG